GUUGGCUCAGAAGCAGCCACUCAUUUAAAGAGUGCGUAAUAGCUCACUGGUCGAGUGAUUUUGCGCCGAAAAUUUAACGGGGCUAAACUGUACACCGAAGCUUGGGAAUAUACCAUAUGGUAUGUUGGUAGGAGAGCGUCGUAUGCGGGGUGAAGUCGUAGCGAAAGCGGCGGUGGACUGCAUAGGAGUGAGAAUGCCGGAAUGAGUAGCGAGAAUUAUGUGAGAAUCAUAAUGGCCGAAAGACUAAGGUUUUAGAAGGAAGGUUCGUCCGCUUCUAGUUAGCCGGGAGCUAAGGCGAGGCCGAAAGGCGUAGUCGAUGCACAUACGGUUGAGAUUCCGUAGCCACCUUAAAUUUAAACUAAGGGACACAUUGAAAGGGAAUAACCCAGGCGUUGGUUGACCUGGGCGUAAGGGAACGAAAAUAAGUAGUGAAGUAUUCUUGGACAGUGGCGAGAAAAGCUUAGUGUAUAUUAUUAGGGUGCCCGUACUGCAAACCGACACAGGUAGUCAGGAAGAGAAUUCUAAGGCCAUCGGGAGAAGCGUUGUUAAGGAACUCGGCAAAUUGACCCCGUAACUUCGGAAUAAGGGGUGCUCACGAGAGUGAGCCGCAGUGAAUAGGUCCAGGCAACUGUUUAUCAAAAACACAGCUCUCUGCUAAAUCGUAAGAUGACGUAUAGGGGGUGACACCUGCCCGGUGCUGGAAGGUUAAGAGGAGGAGUGCAAGCCCCGAAUCGAAGCCCCAGUAAACGGCGGCCGUAACUAUAACGGUCCUAAGGUAGCGAAAUUCCUUGUCGGGUAAGUUCCGACCCGCACGAAUGGUGUAAUGAUCUGGACACUGUCUCAACAACGCACCCGGCGAAAUUGUAGUACCGGUGAAGAUGCCGGUUACCCGCGGCAAGACGGAAAGACCCCAUGGAGCUUUACUGUAACUUAAUAUUGGGUCUCGGUACUUUAUGUACAGGAUAGGCGGGAGACUUGGAAACUAGCACGCCAGUGUUAGCGGAGUCAUCCUUGGGAUACCGCUCUUAAGGUAUUGAGAUUCUAACCUGCAGCCUUGAAUCAGGUUGGGGGACAUUGUUAGGUGGGCAGUUUGACUGGGGCGGUCGCCUCCAAAAGAGUAACGGAGGCGUUCAAAGGUUGGCUCAGCAUGGACGGAAACCAUGCUUUAGAGUAUAAACGCAUAAGCCAGCCUAACUGCGAGACUGACGGGUCGAGCAGUAACGAAAGUUGGAGUUAGUGAUCCGGCGGUAUGUGAGUGGAAAUGCCGUCGCUCAACGGAUAAAAGCUACCCUGGGGAUAACAGGCUGAUCUCCCCCAAGAGU
rnacentral:rRNA from 1 species